UCUCUAUUCCAUGUUCUUGUGUGCAAUAAUUUCAUUUAGUGGUCACGCUUGAUGGGUUUAUCUUUCCUUUUCACUGACCAUAUUCAGUUUUAGAUAUGAGCACUCAUACUACAAUGCGAUUUCUAUGUGUUGCCCCAUUUGUUAACUUGUUUCCAUGGUGUUGAGCAAAUCUAGGACAUGCUUGUCAAUUUUCUUUGAGAACUCAAAACCUGCUUUUCUUUGGUAGGCAAGUACCUUUUUGCUUUUAUUUUUUAUUUUUUAUAGGAAACAACAAUGAAUUAUAUUGAAAAAGGAUUUAAGAAGUACAAAAGAAGGAUGGGGAAUCCCCCCACAAAAGAGAGCUAAACACAUUGAAUACCAAAAGCAAAAAGCUAUUUAGUAAUUACAUAAAGUAAUUUCUCCUUACUAGUCCACACCCUUGGAGCUACACACCGCUAGCCAAUCUAGUUGAACCACAUUAAGGGGAAUGCCCUUAAAAAUUGUGGUGCAAGAAGCCCAAAAAGAAGCAAGGAAGUGAAUGGUAUCCCAUAGAACCUCUGAAUUCCUUGUCUUAUCCUCAAAUAUCUUAGCAUUUCUUUCCCGCCACAUAGCCCAAAUUAAAGCAAUACACGUUGUUUGCCACAAUACUAGGCCUCUCUUGGAUCUUCCCAAACCCUUAUUUGCUUAAGUCUGCAUCAAGCUUCUGAUCAACCUUAAGACCCGCAACAAGCUUGUUUGGCCCACAUGAACACACUAUUCACAUACUUUCCAAGCAUGCUAAGAGAAGCAUAACUCACUGUUAGCGCUAAAUUGUGCCCACUGAGGCAUGAGUCCCAUGAGAGUGGCCAAAUCACCUAGGGAGGACGUAAGGCACAUGAAACCUUUGACAUGCUUUGAUAUCUCAUAUCCAUCCGAAGCAACCAAGAUGGAACAUAUUCCCUUGUAGGAUAGUCUCCAAGAUGGGAGCCCUAAUCAGUGCCAGCCUAAUGCUUUUCAUGGCAUUGUUCAUGGGUCUUUGGCACCCAUGGUGUGAGAUUGCCCGUGCUAGUUUGCCAAUUCUAUACCUAUGCUUUUAUUUUUUAUGUAGUGAGGUAGACCAGGUUAGUACACUUGUGGGUCCGUUGCCCCUACAUCUUCCAUGAUCAUUGUGGCCUUGUUGGUACCUCUUACUUGGUCUAGGCAUGGGGCUAAUGUACUUACCAACACAACCUUGGUGAUUCUAUUCUUAGUUUUAAAGAAUUGUGUGGUUUGCUGUUAGUUUCAGUUUUCAUAUUGGGAGAGGUAAAACCUAUCAAAAAGAAAAAAAUAAAAAAAAUAUUGGGAGAGGUAAUCUGGAUUUGUUUAAUAUUUGAAAUUGCAUAAAAGUUGGUAUAUGUUUAUUAACCAUAGAAAUCUCAUUCCAUAGCUUAAUGGUAAUUUGCUUUAAGGCUUUUCUUCACCAUUAGAGCAACCAUAACUAUUAGACUGGUUAAUCCAUUAUAUAUUUCUUUAUUUCAAUCUUUUGGUUAUUUUCACAUAAACUUGUCAUGAAAUUUCUGUUUAUACUAGUUGGUUUACUAUUUAUUGCCUGUUCAUAAAAGUUCUAGUAUCAAUGCUAGUUUUUGUUUAUCUAGAAGACUUGAACAUCUACAAAAUAUUUUGGCCAAUGGUUGAUAGAAAUGGUCUUCUACAAGUUUUGGACCAAAAAGUAGCUGUCCUAAUGCUAUAGUUUUUGUAUUGUUCAAGGAGCAAUCUAAUAAUGGUUGCAUGCCAUUUGAGAAUUGGCUAUUGUCCAUUGAAUGGUGACCAACAAUUUGAAAUUGUUGACAGCAUAGAGUCGCUUGAUGAUGAUGUUAUGUAGGAGAUGAUAGAUGAAAUCUAUUGCACUGUGAGAGAUGAUCUUAGGCUUGAUUCUCAGGUUCAGUAAGUUAAGUUCCUUGUUGCUGAGGCCAACAAGAGCAAGAGAUUUAAUGGAGUAAAGGUUGGAUGGUGCUUUAUUGUCGUACUUUUACUUGGAAUAUCUUAAGAUUAGUUGUUAAUCAGUCUCUGGAAUUUUUGAAGUGGAAGACCAUGCUAAAAGAGUGAUUAUUUUAUGGGUUAUAUGGACACAUGGAUCAAAAUAACUAUCAAAUUGCAAAAAAGACAUCUCCCUUUAAUUUUGCUAAGAGAUGACUCUCUUUGGAUACUUUUACUCCACUUAAUUUCGUUUCCUCAAAAAACAGCAUUUUUCCACUUAUUUUUCUAUCUCAUAUAUCUCUUCAAUUCACUUCUUUUUUCCCUAAUUCUCCACCUCACUCUUGCACACCAUGACCUCAUAUUUAAGUGUGACCUUUAACUUAGUUUUUCUUUCUUGCCUUCUCUUGAACUUGCUCUCUUUCUUUCUCAGUUGAUGAGACUUUAUGAAAACUAUAUUUUAUCUCAUGAUGCCCUGCCCCAUUUUCUUAUCUCUCAAACAACUCAUUCUCAUUCCAAAUGUUCAUCUAAACUAUAUUGGGAUUAAACUUUAUUUGUUACGAAUUUCACAAAGGUUAAAUUCUCAUUAAGGAUGUUCAGGUGAACUACACUGGGGUUAAGUUUGGUUUGCAAAAAACUUAACUAGGAUUAAGUUCUCAAUCAUAAUGAUAAUUUUAACUACACUAUGGUUAAGUUUCAUUUACAAAAAACUUGACUACGAUUAAAUUUUGUUUCAUCUACAUAGAACUUGAUUAUGGUCACUUGAAUUGUAUUAUGGUUAAAUUUCAUUUAAAAAGAACUUAAUUAUGGUUAAGUUUCUGUUUCUUAUACAAAGAACUUGAUAGUGUUGUUAAAAGCAAAAGACAAUCUCAAGGCAAUAGGAGUCCUUUUAACUUAGGGCGAAAGGCAAAAAACAAGGCAAUGGCCUUAAUAUAGUAAGGUGAUAAAAAAUAUAAAUAUAUGUACCUAUUCAAUACUUGACCAAAAUGAGAGUCGCCUUCAACAAUCAAUACUAAUAAUUUUUCAUCCCUCAUGGCAUUUUAUAAGAUCGACAAAAUAGUAAUAAUUAUUCAAAGUGUUAAAUAUGAUACCCUACAUCAUAAGAAACAUUAUAUUGUUAGAGAAAUCCAUCUUAUCCAAAUGCAUAUUCUAAUUUUUCGAACAUUUAAAAAGCGGAAUAAAAAAUAAAAUAAGAGAAUGAACAUCUUAGAGAAUCUUUGGGCAUCAUCAUCAUAGUCAUCACUUCCACCAAGGCUAGAUUGAUAGUCCUUCAUUUUAUUAUCACUAUGAUUGAUAACAAAGUUUUAAAAGGCGCUUCUCAGGUGCGCCUUGAAGCGCGCCUCAGGGCGAGGUGGGGCGUAAAUGCCUUGAGGCGUAAGAAAUAAAAUGCAACGCCUGAAAGGCGUACGCUUUUUCUAGUGAGGCGUGACUGAGGUGCACUUUGAUCGCGCCUUUUACGCUCCAAGAAGAAGACGUACGCUUUGUGGGAGCUGAUGUGGCCAUGAGCAGAAAUUAAAAAAAAAAAACCCUAAGUAAUCCCUGAAACCCAAGUCCCGAUUGAAAACUUUGGCAAACACAAAUUGGGAGAAAAACUCAACGAAACCCUACCUCAAGCGGCAACGGAGUGCUCAACCUCAGGCGGUGACCAACCACAGUGCAUCUUCUCCGGCGGCGAUUCCUCUCGUUCAUCUCCAGGUAUGUCGCGAACUCACGAUCUCCCUUUCUUCGUCUCCCAUGCUUUCCCCUCUCUUCAUCUCUUCAUCUCUUCAUCUCUUUCCCUCUCUCGGCUUCAUCUCCCAUGGAUUUCUCCCUCUUCCAUGGUUUCUCCCUCUUCGUCUCUCUAGGCAGUCGCCAUAGGCUUCUCUCUCUCAGUCGACUUUUCAACAAUUUUUUUUUUUUAUCAAAUCAACUGUGCCUCUUCAUCCUAUAUAUAUGUAUAUAUAUUUAAACCCUCUACUAGUAAGCCGUUUCUCCCUUCAUCCAUUUUUAUUUUUUAAAUAUUCUAAUUUUAAUUAACAGUUUGGUUAGGGAAGAUGAGAAGCUUUUGUUAAGAAGAUUUUUUUUUUUGAAGUUUUUUUGUUAUUUUUAAUAUGUUUGCUUCUAGGAAAUCAUUCAGAAAGGAAAAAAAAUUUAAAAAAUUAUUUUUAAUGUUUAUCAUAAAAUAAAGUAUUAACAAACAGAUAUAAUUAAAAUUAUAUAAUAAUUAUUUUUGAAUUUUUAUUUUUUAAUUUCUGGUUUAAUUUUAAUUUUCACCUAAAUUUUCUUUAUUUCAUUAUUAAAUUCCAAUUAAAAUUUAUGUGUAUAAUUUUUAAAUUCCUCUAAAAAAUAUUGGUUUUUUUUAAAUUUAAACCAAUUAAAUUUUGUAUUUCAUUUUUAAAUUCCUUUCAAUUAUGUCUUGUUAUUAUUUUUUAGUCAAUUAUAUUGUUAUAUGGAAAUUUGAAUAUUAUUAUUGGUGGUUUUUUUUAGAAUUGAGUUCCUCCGAUUCAAGAAAUUCAAAAAAAGAUUUUGUGUGAAAUUAUGUUAUUGAAGUUUUCAGGGAGCAAUAUUUAAGAUGUAAAUUUUGCAAUCAAAGAUGCACGAGAGGGGUGAAUAGACUAAAGCAUCACUUAGCCGGAACUCAUUAUGGUAUGAAACCAUGCAACAAAGUAAGUGAAGAUGUUAGAUUGGAAUGCAAAGAGACAUUGACCAAUUUUAAGGAUAAAAAAAUGAAAAGAAAUGAAUUGCUCUAAGAAAUUGGUAUGGGUCCAACUUCAAUGCAUGAGAGUGUCAUGUAUAAAACAAUAAGGACAUUAGGGAGUGGGAGUGGGAGUGUAAGUGGGAGUGGGGAACCUAUUCCUAGGGGACCCAUGGAUAAAUUUACCACUUCACAACCUAGACAAAGUACUUUGAAUUCAAAGUGGAAGCAAGAAGAAAGGAAGGAAGUAUGUAGAAAAAUUGGUAGGUUUAUGUAUUCAAAAGGUCUCUCAUUCAACACUGUGAAUGAUCCUUAUUGGUUUCCUAUGAUAGAUGUUGUUGGAAAUUUUGGGCCCGAGUUUGAGCCUCCAUCUAUGCACAAAUUGAGGACAUCGAUUCUUAAAGAAGAGGUGAAUGACCUAAGUAUCAUUAUGGAAGAUCAUAAAAAAGUUUGGAAACAAUAUGGAUGUUCAAUUAUGUCAGAUGGUUGGACAGAUGGAAAAAGUAGGUGUCUUAUCAAUUUUUUGGUGAAUAGUCCUACUGGCACUUGGUUUAUGAAAUCAAUUGAUGCUUCUGAUACAAUAAAAAAAUAGGGAAUUGAUGUUCAAAUAUCUUGAUGAGGUGGUUGAAGAAAUUUGAGAGGAGAAUGUCGUGCAAAUCAUCAUUGAUAAUGCCUCUAAUUAUGUGAAUGCUGGAAUGAGGGUUAUGGAAAAAAUGAGAAGAUUGUGGUGGACUCCUUAUGCUGCUCAUUGCAUUGAUUUGAUGUUGGAGGAUAUUGGAAAGCUAAAUGUUCAUGCUACUACACUUUCUCGAGCUAGGCAAGUAGUGAAGUUUAUAUAUGGGCAUACUUGGGUUCUUAGCUUGAUGAGAACAUUUACAAAAAAUCAUGAACUUCUUCGUCCAGCAAUUACAUGGUUUGCUAUUGCAUUUCUUACUCUCCAAAGUCUUUAUAAGCAAAAGCAAGCUCUUAUAGCAAUGUUCUCCUCAGAAAAAUGGUGUUUAAGCACAUGGGCUAAAGAGGUAGAAGGUGUGAAAACUCGAAGUACAGUGUUGUUCGAUCCAAAUUUUUGGCCUCAUGUUGCUUUUUGCAUAAAGACCACUAUUCCUUUAGUUAGUGUCUUGAGAGAGGUUGAUUAAGAGGAAAGACCAGCCAUGGGUUAUAUUUAUGAGUUGAUGAAUUCAGCUAAGGAGAAGAUUGCAUUUAAUUUUCGGGGCGUGGAGAGAAAAUAUGGCCCAAUUUGGAGAAAAAUUGAUGCAAGAUGGACUCCACAACUUCAUCGACCUUUACAUGUAGCAGGUUAUUAUCUUAAGCCUCAAUUGCGGUAUGGAGAUAAGUUGUCUAAUGUUGAUGAGGUGAGGAAGGGAUUAUUUGAAUGCAUGGAUAGGAUGUUGAAUUAUCAAGAACGUUUAAAAGCUGACAUUCAGUUGGACUCAUAUGACCAAGCAAUGGGUGAAUUUGGAAGUCAUAUUGCAAUUGAUUCUCGAACAUUAAGAAGUCCUACAAGUUGGUGGAUGCGUUUUGGGGGUUCAACACCGGAGUUGCAAAAGUUUGUUAUUCGAGUCCUUAGCCUUACUUGUAGUGCUUAAUGUGAAAGAAAUUGGAGCACAUUUGAAUCGAUCCAUACAAAAAAAGGAAAUAGACUUGAACAUCAAAGGUUGAAUGCUCUAGUAUGUAAGGUGCAACACUAGAUUGAGAGAGCAAAGUCUACAAAGGAAACAAAAUGUUGAUCCAAUUUUGGUAGAGGAGAUUGAUUCGGAUGAUGAAUGGAUUGCAGAGAAAGAAGAUCCCCUCCUCCCCCUUGAUCUUUGUUGGCUUCAAGAUAAUGAGUUAUUUAGUGUUGAUGCUAUUAGAGUUGUGUCAUCCAACUCCCAAGAGACUCAAGCAUCAUCGAAUCACAUGGUUUCUUCACAUUCCUACAAAAGGAAACAUAAUGAAGUACCAAGUACAAGUGGAGGCAAAGGCAAAGAGAAGGAAUUGAAUUUGACACCAAUUGAUGAAGAUGAAGAUUUAUAUGAAAUGAGAAUACAUGAUAGUAGACAUUUUCCUACUAUUGAUACAUUGGAUGAGGAUGAUGAUGACCUUGGAGAGGAGCAUUUAAGUUGAAACAAUUUACUUUAGUUGUUCUUUCAUGACUUAGUUAUGGAUUUUUUGUAAAAGUUUAGAACUAUUAUUAUGGUUGACUCUAUUUUCUAUUUCAUGACUUAGUUAUGGCUUUUUGUUAAAGUUUGAAACUAUUAGUAUAGUUGAAUCUAGAAUCUAUUUUAUGACUUUGUUA